rnacentral:lncRNA from 1 species
AUUUAACCGACUGACUUAUCUCUUUCCCAGAGCUUUUCAAGUUGAAGGGUGACAGAGCUGAGGAGCCUGAGCACUGGCUGCUCAUCCUGAUUGCAGCGUGCCUCCAGCCCGAGCUGCUGUUCCCUGAAAAACAGCUGCGGACUCGGAGCCCACGGUCUGGUUAUUUUGAUGAGCUCCAAUACCAAACAAGAAUCUUUCUGCAAUUUAUUCUGUCUCAUAGCUUCUGGAUGAAGAAAUUAGAAUAUAUUGUUUUCCUAUUAUCUGAAUGCAUGAAGAAAAAUGCAAUUGAACUGAUAAAAGAGAGUAGGUUUUGGCCAAGGCACUGUUCUGCAGUGGGUGCACAUAUUCUGUUUUCAAUUCCAGCUCUGAAGUGA